rfam:Ictidomys tridecemlineatus contig055197, whole genome shotgun sequence.
AGAGUUGUGGCUCAGUGGUACAGCACUCAUCUUGCAAAUGUGAGGCACUGGGUUAGAUCCCAGCACCACAU